AUAAACUGAGGGGAGAGAAAAACAGAGAAUUAGCAGGCGGUAUAAGGGGACUGUACUCAGUGAGUCAGCGUGAACUUCUGAAGGGCGUCGAGAUUCCGCUAUCCAGGUCAUGAUUACCCACAUGUUCGUGUUUGUCGAGGCUUUUGCUCGUCUUGUCAACAUAGCUGACGGUGGCUUACUUGGAAUUGUGGACGGAGUGAGAGAUGUAACUCCUUGGCGUUAUUGUUACUGACUCGACACUAUUUGAUAUAAGCAUUACCUUAAUGGUGAUGUCGUAGAAGCCAGCUUGCCAUGGGGGCGCCAGGAAGUCGACCACGAAGGACCUGCCGGUGUCUCCGGCGACGUUGAAGGCGUUGUUUGCGGGGCAGAGGAGACAGUCGACGUUGAGGACAAAUCGAGGGAGGAGGGCGUUGACAGGGGUGGUGCCGUUGAGCCGGAUCUGUCGCUCUGACUCCUCAAUGAUGAACUGAAAACACGUGAUGUCAUACAUGAUCCCGAAGACGCCGAGGUUACACAUGAGCGCCUUCAUGACGUCACCAUCGUCUUCGAUCGUGAAUGUCCGGAGCCGAGACCGAGAGUCAAUUAUCCUCAUCUCAACUACGUAGCCGCUCAUGGUUGGUCCAUCCCAGCUUGAACCCUAGGUCAAAGGUCACAAUAACAUACAAGAAUGCCAUCCAGUUUGUCUCGGAAAGACAUGAAUUGUCACGAAUGUAUUUCACUCGCAUCUCACUGUAACCUACAAGAAAAACAUCCGGAUUUGAUCACGGAUGUGGUUCGAAGCGCGCACGACCAAAGGGAGACAACUCACGUGUGAGGACGCGGCAACCAUGCCCCCGACAGUUCCGUUCACCUGGAUGGGCUCCGAAUGGAAGCUUGGGUCCGUCAUGACGUUCCAGACCUGUGAUAUCCAGCAUCACGUGACCUUCAUCCACGUAGAGCGGCGCGCGACUCUGAAAGUAGCCCACCGCGCGAACAUGUAGUCCCAGCCAGUGGGCAGCUCGGACCACAUUCUGCACGUGCCUCACGUGUGUUGGCCUGACGUAGAAGACGUUGCUGAUGUUGAUGGUCCUGUCGUAGUUCUCGAAGUGGCGGAUGUCGAUGACGGGGCCGUUGCGUCCAACAUACAGUUCAAACAGAGGAAGGACUUGACGCAUGUAUACAUACACGCCUGGAAUGAACAUAAUAUGAGCGUUUAUAUCAAAUUUAUGACAUUUAUAUUAUUUAAUAUUUUCAUCGUUGUUGGUUAACUCUAUUUUCCUAAUCAAGAUUUGCAGGUUAACUCUGUUUUCGUUCUCGUAAUCAGAAUGCAGAAAUACAUGUACAGUUAUAAGAUGAAAUUUAAAGGGUUUAAUACGUGUAAGCUGUAAGGAAUAAAGACCAAUUAAUUCAA